GACGAACGUUGGCGGCGUGCUUAAUACAUGCAAGUCAACUGAAGCAGUGGUAGCAAUAUCGCUGUGGAGGUGGCGCACGGGUGAGUAACACGUAGGUAAUCUGCCUUCAGGUCUGGCAUAACUCCGGGAAACCGGGGCUAAUAGCAGAUGAUGCAGCGGCUCGACAUCGAGACAGUUGUUAAAGCUAUGGCGCCUGAAGAUGAGCCUGCGUCUGAUUAGCUAGUUGGCGGGGUAACGGCCCACCAAGGCAACGAUCAGUAGCUGGUCUGAGAGGAUGAUCAGGCACACUGGAACUGAGACACGGUCCAGACUCCUACGGGAGGCAGAAGUAAGGAAUAUUGCUCAAUGGGAGAAAUACUGAAGCAGCAACGCCGCGUGAGGGACGAAGGGCUUUUGCUUGUAAACCUCUGUAGUGAGAGAAAAAAAUCCCAAUCUUUGGGACAUGAUGGUAUCUCAAAAGUAAGCCCCGGCUAACUACGUG
rnacentral:rRNA from 1 species